GAAAAGUGGUAUUAUCAUUUUAGAUAAAAAAAUGGAAGCUCAAAAAACUUUCAUGAGUUGCCCUUAAUGAGGAAAAUCUGAAUAUGGAAGUCAAAGAUAAGAACUCUGGUUCUAAAUCCCAUCCUGUUCCUACAUGGAUGAUGCUUCCAGAUAUUAAUGGAGGAAGCUAUCAAUAAAUAGAUGGAAUAUUUUCUUGUGCUUGUUUGUAAUCUGAGGGCCUGACUUCUGUAAUCAGUAUCCAUUGUUUUACAGUGUCCUAUUUAAAUUUUAUUUCAGUGUUAACUUAAUGACUCUUUGUGGGACUAUUGGUUUUGAAAGACCAAUAGCUUUCUUCAUAUCCCUGCAACUGAGGUGAAACACUGAAUAACAGCAAGUAACAGCAAACUCUUUGGUAGCACUUGCCAUGUGGUGUUUUCAUUUCAUGACUCUCUAAGGAUGAUCUAUACCAUUCCCAUUUUACAGAUCAGAAAACCGAGGCACAGAGGACUUGCCCAUGGUACACAGAAGCCAUUACUUCAUAACUGUGUCGUUUACUGGAAAUGCCUGAAGAACCUUGGAGAAGAAUCAAAAACAACCAAAGAAAUAUUGUCAAUUUUUCCUGUGGUAUAAACUGAUGAAUUUUCUCAUUGAAGCUUACAUCUUGCUCAUGGGGGAAAGAAAAAAACAAACCAAAAAUUUCCUUUAUUCCUUUAAGUCAAAACCAGGAGGAAGUUGACACUUUAUAAAGGUAAUAGUUACUCAUUCUGUUUCUCAUAAUUGGCUGCCUAAAAAAUGUCUGUGAUUAAUAGCAAGGCAAAAAAGAAAGAAGCAAAGAUUCAUAAAAGUAAAGGAUCACAGUCUUAAUAAAUCAUGCUCUUACUGCCCA
rnacentral:lncRNA from 1 species